rnacentral:rRNA from 1 species
CCUACGGGUGGCUGCAGUGGGGAAUAUUGGACAAUGGGGGGAACCCUGAUCCAGCCAUGCCGCGUGUGUGAAGAAGGCCCUCGGGUUGUAAAGCACUUUCAGUGAGGAAGAACGCCUGGUGGUUAAUACCCAUCAGGAAAGACAUCACUCACAGAAGAAGCACCGGCUAACUCCGUGCCAGCAGCCGCGGUAAUACGGAGGGUGCGAGCGUUAAUCGGAAUUACUGGGCGUAAAGCGCGCGUAGGUGGCUUGAUAAACCGGUUGUGAAAGCCCCGGGCUCAACCUGGGAACGACAUCCGGAACUGUCAAGCUAGAGUGCAGGAGAGGAAGGUAGAAUUCCCGGUGUAGCGGUGAAAUGCGUAGAGAUCGGGAGGAAUACCAGUGGCGAAGGCGGCCUUCUGGACUGACACUGACACUGAGGUGCGAAAGCGUGGGUAGCAAACAGGAUUAGAUACCCCAGUAGUC